AUUGAACGCUGGCGGAAUGCUUUACACAUGCAAGUCGAGCGGCAGCACGGACUUCGGUCUGGUGGCGAGUGGCGAACGGGUGAGUAAUAUAUCGGAACGUGCCCAGUCGUGGGGGAUAACGUAGUGAAAAUUACGCUAAUACCGCAUACGAUCUACGGAUGAAAGCGGGGGAUCGCAAGACCUCGCGCGAUUGGAGCGGCCGAUAUCAGAUUAGGUAGUUGGUGAGGUAAAGGCUCACCAAGCCAACGAUCUGUAGCUGGUCUGAGAGGACGACCAGCAACACUGGACAUGGGACACGGUCCAGACUCCUACGGGAGGCAGCAGUGGGGAAUUUUGGACAAUGGACGCAAGUCUGAUCCAGCCAUUCCGCGUGCAGGACGAAGGCCUUCGGGUUGUAAACUGCUUUUGUACAGAACGAAAAGGUUUCUAUUAAUACUAGGGGCUCAUGACGGUACUGCAAGAAUAAGCACCGGCUAACUACGUGCCAGCCGCCGCCGUAA
rnacentral:rRNA from 1 species